ensembl:snRNA U6 U6 spliceosomal RNA
GUGCUCGCUUCGGCAGCACAUAUACUAAAAUUGGAAUGAUACAGAGAGGAUUAGCAUGGCCCUUAAAAAAUCACCCUUAGGGCUUGUUAAAACACACAUUACU